GACUCUUUUCUCGUUGCUCUUCACCCAGACUGCUUGUUUUCUGUCCUUCCUACAUGGAAAUGCCUCUCUGCUCCUGAGAGGGACACAAGAUUUCCUUCACUCUCCUUAGCUGCUCUACCUAAGAGUGAGGAAUGGGAGGCAGAACCAUAGGGGAAGAUUCUUCUGGGCCUUGAUGGAGUUCCAGAGAAGAAAGAAACGUCUUUCCUGGGAAGGAAAACAUUGGCAGCAUGAAUUAUUGCCAAUACCAACUGUUGAGAAAAAGACAAACAAUGAGGCAGAUUUCAACAAACUAGAGAUUAAAAGCGUGCCUCUGGAUUGUGUUAAUGGCCUCCUGCUGCUUCAGCUUGCUGUGUAGGGAAGGGCUGGAGCUGUGUGGGAAGGGAUGGACUAGUUGUUACCUUUAAUGGCUUUCUUUAUCUAUCACAAGGAUUGAAAGUGUUGUUUUGAAAAUUGGAAGCCGAUGGUCUUACUCAGUCCUCUGUCUUCAGGACCUGCAGUAAAAGAUUUAAAGAUAUUUAACCACUGGAUGAAAUGUGCCUGGGCACCCCGACAGAGACCAGAAAUGCACAGCAAAGAACAAUGCUUCUGUUGUGAAGGAAAGAAGAAAAAAGCAACACAAAACCCGCAGAUAUUUAAGAGCUCUGCCCCUCUUCCAGUGUAUAUGAAAGUGAUCCAAGGUUCUUAGUGGUUGUGUGAUACACACACUCAGAAUGGCUGUAGAAAGGACAUCCACAGCAAUGUAGCUAACGCGCUCCUCGCUCCUAAAAGUCUUUCAGCAUUCUGCAGAGCCCAGGGGCCCCAAAACCUUACUAAACAGUCUCCUCUAUAUCAAAUUAAUUAGGAAAUUUGUUUUAGAAGUAUGUUCCCAGUUUUGCCUUCAUGUUAGCGUUUCCAAACUUUCCCCAGAACCAGCUCUAGUGUUUUAAAGCAAGUGCCAUGUGGGAGGAGAGAAAUAGUGCUGAGCAAGAGCAGGAGCAGUACAGGAUGGCUAUGUGCCAGGUUCUGCCUCGUCAUCCUGAAAUCCAGUUCUGUGGGAGCUGUGAGUCACUUCCAUGGAUAUAAAAGUAGAAAGUUUAUACAAACCCAAGGAGAGCUGUGGAGUUUUAUUGCCAAUUCCCUGCUGGCUGCUAGCUCUACAGUUUCUUGCCUGGUUCUCCAUCUCACCCCUGGAUUUUCUCAGUCCUCAAUUGCUCGGUAAUUUUCUGCCUUAUCUCUAGAGCCAUGCUACUUUUGUCACUCAGGAGCUGCAAGCAAAACAAGCACGCUGACCUCAGGAGGAGAAAAGGGAGGGUGGGUGGGUCAGAUCGUGACUGUGCCAAGUUCAUACCUGCACAGUGUCUGACCUGCCAAACGGAGUCAGGGUGUCUCCCUUUGGGGGCCUAGCCAGUCCCCACAGCCCCCAAGGAGAGGCUGUUAUCUCUGAGAUGGGGUUAGGGGAGAUGUUGGGAGCAGCAGGAGAGGAGUCUUCAAGCAGAAGAGAAAACGAGAUGGGAGAUUGUCCUGUCUCCGAGAUUAAUGGCCUUCACUGGCAAACAUUAAGUCAAGUCCGGACAGGAAUUCCACAUCAUAUUCAAGUGUUAAAAGACAGAAAGAUAGAGAGAUAGAAGGGAAAGUAAGAGAUAAUUAAUAUGAAAUGGUUGUCUCUGGUCCUUGUGUAAGAAAGAGUCAAGAAGGUCAGGGCCACAGGGUGAUGGGUCAGACAUCAGUGUGAUCAAACACUCAUCAGCAUCAACAGACCCCAUAUCUCUUACCUGGUUAGACCAUAGUACAGCAAAAGACUUAUCUUCCCCUGAACUCAGUUCUGAUCUUCCAGGAUAAACUCAAACAGUGCAGAAGGCAGUGGAUCCCACUCUCUUUGAUUCCAGAAAAAGAAGGGUUUUGGCACUCACUCAUUACUUUUUAAGAUAACAUUUUUGAUAGCCAUUAAAAAUAAAUAACAUGAAAGGUUGCAUGGACUACAAGUUAGGGUAUAACUCUGAUCAUCGUUCAGAGCUUUGCUGUGUCAUGGAAGUGAAUGAGGGAACAGCUUUUGACCUCUUUUCUUUAAAUUAAUAAUGGAGGGCACAGAUUUUUUUUCUUCAUCUGCAGAAGCGAUUUAAAUUAAUAUAUUGAAAAAAAUAAUCCUAUUUAAUGAUGGCUUUACUGAACUACUGGGUUGUAUGUUUUGUUUUCUGUUUUUAUUGGAUUUUCUUUCCGGUUACAAAGCGUGGUAACUAAGCCACUUUACUUACAUUUCUACUAAUUCAUCUUCUCCUUCUGCUUGCUUCUUCCAUAUGGUCAUAAUCCAAUACCGACACAACAAUCGUCUGCACCAUCUCAGCUAAUUACACCACAGUGCUUUGAGACUUUUGAUGAGGAUUAAAUGACAUGGUGACAGCUUUCUGCUUUGAUAUUUCUGCUGCCUGUUCUUACAUCUUCACCAGUAAAUUAGAGAGAAUGCAGAAAAAGGUCAACACACAGUCCAGAAGGAAAGUGAUCAGUGUUCUGUGCAUUCAUAGUUUUUGGUCCAUAGAACUGAUUUUUAGUCUGAAAUUUCCCUUAAGAAAUGGUAGUUGGUUGCAUAUUAGCUAAAUGGAGGCCAUAGAGGUUUAUGCCGUACCGUGGCUGUUCAUCAGCCCGUGUGAAAUAAAAUGAGUUUGGUCCACCUGCAGUGUUAUUUUUUACUGCAGAUUAUCUACCUGGGAAAGGCAUCAAGAGAACAAGGCUUCUGCACUACAAACAUAACCUGUCUAAACUAUAGCAGAUUUGGAGAGUAGAGUUAUGAAAUGACUCAUAAUCAUGGCCCGUCCAUGUAUGCUGUUAUUUAGAAAAUAAUUUCCUUUUUGUGGGGAGAAAACUAUAAUGACAUAUGACCAAAAGUCCAGUCAUUUCAGUCACCUGUCUCCAAAAGUGGCUGAAAAGAUAUAUGUCAUGAUAAGAACAGGAAUGCUUUUACCAGUCUCCAAAAAUCACUAUCACGUUGAUCUAAAGAAAGAAAAGUGUGAUAUGCCUGAGUGAGAAAUUCAGGAAAGUUAUAAAAGGUCACAGUUAGCUAGGUUUGGAUGUGCUAUGCAGUAUGAGUAGCAGAAAGAAUGACACAUUAGCAGGAAAUAGCAUUUUGAUCUACAUCUCUAUACUUCUGGUUACACAUCUUAAGAAGACAAAAAUAAAAUGGAGUUGGUUGGAGGAAGCCCACUUGGGAUUUGGUGUCUAUAAGAUCUCCAUAGGUACCUCUCCCCUACAGCCCCCUAUCCUACAACUCACUUUAACAGUCAGAAAGUGAUGACCAAGUGCCUGUUGAACGCUGAACACUGAGCAUCUCUGCCUGCAGAGAGGCUAAUUUCAAGCCAGCAAGUACAUUUCCAGGAAAAACAUCUUUAUUAAUGUAUCCACCAUCCUGUGGCCUCUUUUCUGAAGCUUGUUGAUGAGUUUUUCAAGAGCUGUUAACAUCCAGAUGUCUCCUGUCUCAACUGAGAGAGCUUUCUGGAGAGCUUUCCUAGCUUGCACUUUUGUGGUUCAUAGCUGUGACAUGAAACAUCUUUCAUGAUGGAAAGGAGCGUCCCUUCAUGUGACCAGCAGGCCAACACUCUGUGGAUCAUUAGGCAGCCCAGCAUAGGAGCAUUGUGUUGAGGAACACAGCGGAGAGUACAGUAAUGGACACUUCCGAUCUGGCAUAUCCUAAAUACUGAAUACUUGGAUAAUUUAUGCUUAUGCAUACAUUCCUUGGUGAGAGAACAAAACAAGAUCUGAUAAUGUUUCUCUUAAGCAAGUCUCAACAAAAUCAUAGCUCUUGCUUGACAAGUAAUGAGACUGCUGUUUUUCCUCCUUCUUUUUUGAAGGCUUCAUAUGAAUUUUUGUAGUCUUGGGUUAUUGCCCUGGGGAAUGGAAUAUAAUUUGAGUGACUGAAUGUACUGUCUUUAUUUUGACUUUGAGUGGGGUUGGGUCUAACAAACAAAGAAGCUUCCAUGUGAGCAGCCCGGACAAGAGUAGCCUUUUUCAUCCAAGCAAAUUGUGCAGCAGGAAGGAGAUCUACAAACAACAACUUAAAAACCCUGGUGAUGACUGCAAGCUGCACAUUCUUAUUGUGCUGAUGGUUUGUGUACUCCUUUACUCUUUUAAUGGAGGGCUUUCUCAGACAGCUCAGAAACCCUGGCCGUAGCAGAAAGGUCACACGAGUGAAGAUGAGAAAGACCCUGGAGAGCUUCAGUGUGGGUGAGCCAUCAGAGCAACCUAUACGGAAGAGCAAAGGGUCUGUGAAGGGUUACAGGACACUCAGGCCACCACAGGUGAAUUCCCCCACUGGAGGGGUGUGACAGAGACAGGGAGAGAGCUCCGUACUUGUUGCAGUCACUCUGAGGGAAUGUUUCCCAGCUUUUCUCCCCCAGCUUCAAUACCAAGACCAGAAGACGCAGGACCCCAGUAGACCAAGCAUCUCCAGCAAUCUCAUGGCUUCAGAUAUUUCUGGGACUGAUGGCUGAUAUGAACAAAUAUUUGGGGGAUUAAAAAACCCGUCUGGUAUGAAAGGAAAUAUUUCUGUAUUAACUUUGGUCAAGGCUAACAAACCUCAAGUUAGUAUGAGCAUUAUCCCUGUUUUCUGCUUUAGUCCAAUUAGAGAAUCUCAUGGUGCAAAAACUGCCAUAUAAGCAAUGUGUUGAUACAUGAGAAUUAAUGGGUGGUUAAAAUUAAAACAAACAAACAAACAAACAAAAAGGUAAAAUGAUUAUUUAAAUGAAAAACUGCAAGAAGUAUUCUGGUUCACAGAGAUAAGGAAACCAUGUCUAUUCUAUUUCAUCUGUUAUACUUUUUUAUCUUGGCAAUUUCUCUUUGAAAACUAUGAAAACAUUUGUAGCUGCCUGAGGAUUCUGUGGGAAAACAUCUACUUUUUAGCAGUUAUCCUCAUCUGUUCCUAUGACUUCUGUGUACUGCUGUUGUGACAACAGAUCAAUUACAGCUAUUCUAGUUUCCAACUGAAUUUGGAUUAUUGGGUCAUUUUAAGGCCUUCUCUGAAUCAACUGCAUGCUCUACAUAAGUUAUUAUGUAAGUCAAGGUAUUUCAUUUUCUAAAGAAGCAAAGAAAAUGUUUUCUAGACCAAUAUAUUGCUGUAUAUUUUGCCCUACUUCUUUUUCCAGUGGAAAAUGGAGAAGAAUGUAGUGCAGGAUAUCAUGCAAACUUUCUCUGUUUAGCUGUGUGAUGUUAAUAUUUUAUUUCAGUUAUUUACAGUGUAUAAACUUGGAGCUCAAUGAGGUAAAUGGGGAAGCUGGAAUUCACAAACAUCACUGCAAAUCCCAUCAACAGUUAAAGACAACAGGUCUGAAACGCUCCUCAGUGUGUAUGAAACUGACUGUGCAAACACUAAACAGUCACUUUGGGUAAAAUGACAUUUGCAACUUAGAGGCAAGGAUAGUUACAGAAAUUAUUCCAUUUGAGCAAAUUCACCUUUACCAGAAAGACCCUACUGAGUCAUUUGAAACUUCAUAUCUGACAAGGGAGUGGGAAAACCAGCUAAGAGCACCCUGAAGCAACCAGGAUCUCUUGGUCAAGUGCAAGAGCUGGGUUGUAACAACAAAAGGGGCUGCUACGUGGCAACUGAUGAGAAGCAGGAGCGUGUUUGGCUUACAGCAGCACUAAAGUAAACAGGAAAUUGCACACAGAAUCUGACCCUCCCUUCAGCCUGUUUUUUGAAGAAUUAGCAGAUUCUUGUCUCUGAGCAUAAGGCAGUUUUUUCAGCCUUCCAUUCAUCUUGGUGGCUCUUUGCUGCAGGCUCUGUACCCUUUCAAGUCCCCGUGAAAAUCAGGAUACCAGAAUUACUUGCUGGUGUCUAUGUUGACAACUGAGCUAAAUUUAAUUUUCUGCUCCUCUGAUUAUAUACCCAGGAUCUAGGCUGCUGGCACUGCCCCAGGUAACUGCUGCUCCUUGUCUGGUGUCACCUCUCAAGCUGCCAUAAGGGAGUUGUUGUUCCUGAAGAUCCUGUUGCCCACCCCAUGACGAUGGCCUGGCUUUUGUCUUGUUGUGGUUCUUUGAUGUGCAACCUCAUUUGGCUAUGGCAUCACAGCACAUUUUGGCUGUAACCCCACACCCGAUGGAGGGCACACCCAGAACUGCUCAUGGAUUCUCCAGUCUGGAGAUGAGGGUUGAAGCACAGGUUCACUGAGUGAUGGAAGUCGUUCUGCAUCACUGUCCCUUCCUCAUCAUUGUGAACCUCUUCAUCAUUUAUCCAUGCUGCUAGAAAUAAUUUUUAUAUACUUCUCAGCUGAGAAAGUUCAACUCUAAUAUAAAUACCUGCAAAACAAUACUGGAAAUGACCCCUUGACAAAUAAUUUAAUAGUUUAAGGCAUUUAGUGUGUUGUAUUGGUAGCUCUCACCCAUGUGUCACACAGGACUCCUUUAAGGAGAAUCCAAGCAUAUCUCUUCUUCUGUCAAGCUGCUUUAUCAUGCAAACUGGUAAUCUUGUCAAGAAAGGAAAUCAGAUUUUUUUACAAACAGAUUGAUUUUCCAUAAAGCUAUGUGGAUCAGCAUUAAUUAAACUCUCUGACUCUGCUUCCUCUUCCAUUUUCAAGGCCUUUUGUUAUUUUUUAUUUGCUAAUGUCAGGCUCAAUAGCUGAAGUUAGGCUGCUGCUGACACAGAAUCAGCAUGUUCCCACGCUUCUGGGAUUUGCAUGGUGCUCUGAGAUCUCUACAAAAUUACUAUCAGAAAAGGUCAUUUUUCUUUUUUGCUAACACUAAUCAAAACUCUCACUCGUCUUGAAUAGUUUGCCAUCUCCCUCUAGCAAUUGGAUGGUAUCACAGAUAGUAUUUUGCUACUGGUAGAUGGAAAACAGGCUAUCCUGCUUCUCAGCAGAGCCAUCCAGCACAGCACCCUGUCACCAGCAGUGCACGAAAGCAAUUGCUGAGGAAAGCUGAUAAGCACAGGUGAACAGCCCCAAGUGCUCUGCCAACAGCCAGCCACAAUACUCAUACUUUCUCUUGUAUUGCUACACAGUGUAUUUUCUAAUUUGUAUUACUUGCCUUUACAAUCCCUACAUUCACUAUUAUGUGUAUGUCCAUAGGUGUAUACAAUCUCACAAGCUUCCACUAUCGUUAUUAAAAUCUUAAAGAAUUACAUA